rfam:Providencia burhodogranariea DSM 19968 genomic scaffold scaffold00001, whole genome shotgun sequence.
ACUGCUUUUCUUUGAUGUCCCCAUAUUGAGGAGCCCGAUAGCCAACUUUACGUUUAUCGCUAUCGGGUUUUUUAUU